CCAAAGGCUCUUUUCAGAGCCACUUACUCUCUCAUAUAAAGAGCUU
rfam:Equus caballus chromosome 20, whole genome shotgun sequence.